GACGAACGCUGGCGGCGUGCUUAACACAUGCAAGUCGAACGGAAAGGCCCUGCUUUUGUGGGGUGCUCGAGUGGCGAACGGGUGAGUAACACGUGAGUAACCUGCCCUUGACUUUGGGAUAACUUCAGGAUACUGGGGCUAAUACCGGAUAGGUGCUCCUGCUGCAUGGUGGGGGUUGGAAAGUUUCGGCGGUUGGGGAUGGACUCGCGGCUUAUCAGCUUGUUGGUGGGGUAGUGGCUUACCAAGGCUUUGACGGGUAGCCGGCCUGAGAGGGUGACCGGCGACAAUGGGACUGAGAUACGGACCAGAGUGCAACGGGAGGCAGCAGUGGGGAAUAUUGCACAAUGGGCGGAAGCCUGAUGCAGCAACGCCGCGUGCGGGAAGACGGCCUUCGGGUUGUAAACCGCUUUCGCCUGUGACGAAGCGUGAGUGACGGUAAUGGGUAAAGAAGCACCGGCUAACUACGUG
rnacentral:rRNA from 1 species